AUUGAACGCUGGCGGCAGGCCUAACACAUGCAAGUCGAGCGGAUGAAGGGAGCUUGCUCCUGGAUUCAGCGGCGGACGGGGGAGUAAUGCCUAGGAAUCUGCCUGGUAGUGGGGGAUAACGUCCGGAAACGGGCGCUAAUACCGCAUACGUCCUGAGGGAGAAAGUGGGGGAUCUUCGGACCUCACGCGAUCAGAUGAGCCUAGGUCGGAUUAGCUAGUUGGUGGGGUAAAGGCCUACUAAGGCGACGAUCCGUAACUGGUCUGAGAGGAUGAGCAGUCACACUGGAGCUGAGACACGGUCCAGGCUCCUACGGGAGGCAGCAGUGGGGAAUAUUGGACAGUGGGCGAAAGCCUGAUCCAGCCAUGCCGCGUGUGUGAAGAAGGUCUUCGGAUUGUAAAGCACGUUAAGUUGGGAGGAAGGGCAGUAAGUUAAUACCUUGCUGUUUUGACGUUACCAACAGAAUAAGCACCGGCUAACUUCGUG
rnacentral:rRNA from 1 species